AAGUACCUGUGGAAACCAUGGUUGUCUGGGUCACCAGGAUACCCAAUGUUGAGGCAGUCAGAAGGUGAGCAACCACUCAAUUGUUCAGAGGAAACAUAUACGGGAUCUCCUGCUGCCAAUCCAGCUGGAAGGCAUCCCCCCAUGAUUGUGGGUCAUGGAGCAGAAACGAGUGUACUUUGUGUUCUCUGAGGUGGCAAAGCGAUCUAUAGUCUGCCAUAUCCAACUUGUGAAGAGAGGUGUAAUGUAUUCUGUCUUGGUUUCCCAUUCAUACUGGUGUUGUCCCUCACUUGCCAAGAUGUUGCGGCCCCUGGUGGCAGGAAAAGGGAGGAGUGUAGUGGUGACAGUGGGUGGAUCUGAACCUCAAAGAUGUUUCUGAGGCUCAGUCUGCUUCGUACAUUGAGGUUGAUUUGACUUCCCCUUGCCCUUGCAUGAAAAGGGAGUUUGUGAUAAGGUUGGUAUUGCUUCCAAAAGUCAUGGCACUCCCGUUGUUUGAAUGUUUACUUCUGUUUCGAAUAAGGACGGUAUUUGGAGCCAUAGAAAGAGGUAGAUGCAGUGAAAGUUUUGGUGGUGAAUUCAGAUUUUUUUUCCUUUUCUCCAUCGUGGAGUCAGGGUCCUCACUGAAAAGGCCCUUACCAUCAGAAGGUAAGCCCUCAAUUCUCUCUUUCAUAUUGCUCUACAGGUUGGUGGAACUAUCUCCCUGCAUGCCUCCACAGGGAGAUUGUGGCUGCCAAGUAGUGUGAUUCAGAUUCAGCCAGGAGCUUGGCAGUGCUCAAUUGUUGGCAGGCGUAGUAUGUCAGUGACCAGACUUAGAGGAUGAUGAAGUGGCGCAGUUGAUGACUAGGGAGUUAGGAGCGGGAUGCUUCAGAAGGGGAGAUGUGGGUAACUGGAGGCACAUCAACUGGAGAAUCUACCCAGUUGUCUGGGUCAUCUAGAUCAGACUCAAAGUCAGAAGAGCCAUGGUGAUCAGAAGAGAAGAGGAAGAAUCCUCCAAUCCUGACUGUUUGCGUUUUGACUUUGAACACUUUGGUGUCAAAGGGGAAGCGGACUUCGAAGAGACCUUUGAAAUUCAAAAUGCCAAUGUCGAGCUUGAAGUCGAUGGCUGUGGUUUCAUAGGAGGAGGCUUAGAUGCCAACAAUGAAGUUUUCGGUCGACGAUGAGUUCACAGGGCGGGGUUUCCCCGAUGUCGAAGAACUCGCAUCUCAUCAUAAAUGUCAGCAUGAAGCCACAAGGACCGAUUUUUUUCUUGUCUGCUUUAAAACAGAUAAGCAUAUCUUGCACAAGAAGACAUUGUGCUCCUCUCCCAGGCAGAUUAAGCAUAGGUCAUGGAGAUCUUGGAGGGAAACUUGGCAUUACAGCCUGUGCACCUCUUGCAGCUCCUUUUCUCCUCAGCCAUUUUUAGGGAUAGACCAACUUGUAGCCCGGAAGCUGUUUCCAAGACAAAACUGAUAGUCCAAUAGAUUUAUUUUACAGAUGAACUCAGAAAGAAGAACCUAACCGAUGAGGAUCAACAGCCAGAGGACUGAAUGCAAUGGCAGUCAGAAAAGAACUGAAGAACAGGCGCCUUUAAAUAGCAUGCUGUAGAUAUGAGGGCGAGACUCGGUUGCCUUGACGAGCUGUGGCAUUCUACAGUGAGUGUCCUGCACAGGUGCAUUACCCAUUUUUAUGGAUCUCAGCGGAUCUCAAUUCAGAUCAAUGAAUAUUAUUUACAAUAUGUCCUAAAUACUGCAUCAAAGUAAACAGCUUUAGGAGAACGGAACAGUUAUUCAUUCAUUCAUUAUACAUUAUACCUGAUGAGUUGUUUUGUUCAAGAAUUCUUUAUGAGAUUUCACCCUUCGAAUUUCCGUAUAGUAGUAAGUCUGUGUGUGUUCAUAAAAAGCGUUCUCUAACCUAUAAGAGAAUGUUACACAAUUUCUUAAUGUUGAAAGAGCAAUUCCAGCAUA